AUUGAACGCUGGCGGCAGGCCUACCACAUGCAAGUCGAGCGGAUGAAGGGAGCUUGCUCCUGGAUUCAGAGGCGGACGGGUGAGUAAUGCCUAGGAAUCUGCCUGGUAGUGGGGGAUAACGACCGGACACGGGCGCUAAUACCGCAUACGUCCUGCGGGAGAACGUGGGGGAUCUUCGGACCUCACGCUCUCAGAUGAGCCUAGGUCGGCUUAGCUAGUUGGUAGGGUAAAGGCCUACCAAGGCGACGAUCCGUAACUGGUCUGAGAGGAUGAUCAGUCACACUGGAACUGAGACACGGUCCAGACUCCUACGGGAGGCAGCAGUGGGGAAUAUUGGACAAUGGGCGAAAGCCUGAUCCAGCCAUGCCGCGUGUGUGAAGAAGGUCUUCGGAUUGUAAAGCACUUUAAGUUGGGAGGAAGGGCAGUAAGUUAAUACCUUGCUGUUUUGACGUUACCAACAGAAUGAGCACCGGCUAACUUCGUG
rnacentral:rRNA from 1 species